rnacentral:rRNA from 1 species
GACGAACGCUGGCGGCGUGCCUAAUACAUGCAAAUCGAGCGCAGGAAACUGACGGAACUCUUCGGAGGGAAGGCAGUGGAAUGAGCGGCGGACGGGUGAGUAACACGUAAGGAACCUGCCUCAAGGAUUGGGAUAACUCCGAGAAAUCGGAGCUAAUACCGGAUAGUUCAACGGACCGCAUGGUCCGCUGAUGAAAGGCGCUUCGGCGUCACCUUGAGAUGGCCUUGCGGUGCAUUAGCUAGUUGGUGGGGUAACGGCCCACCAAGGCGACGAUGCAUAGCCGACCUGAGAGGGUGAUCGGCCACACUGGGACUGAGACACGGCCCAGACUCCUACGGGAGGCAGCAGUAGGGAAUCUUCCACAAUGGACGAAAGUCUGAUGGAGCAACGCCGCGUGAGUGAUGAAGGUUUUCGGAUCGUAAAACUCUGUUGUAAGGGAAGAACACGUACGAGAGGAAAUGCUCGCACCUUGACGGUACCUUACGAGAAAGCCACGGCUAACUACGUGCCAGCAGCCGCGGUAACAC